UACGUAGGGGGCAAGCGUUGUCCGGAAUCAUUGGGCGUAAAGAGCGUGUAGGCGGCCAGAAAAGUCCGCUGUGAAAACUCGAGGCUCAACUUCGAGCUGUCGGUGGAAACUUUCUGGCUAGAGUCCGGAAGAGGAGAAUGGAAUUCCUGGUGUAGCGGUGAAAUGCGUAGAGAUCCGGAAGAACACCGGUGGCGAAGGCGGCCCGCUGGGCAGGAAGACACCGCAAGGUGUCGGCUGACGCUGAGGCGCGACAGCGUGGGGAGCAAACAGG
rnacentral:rRNA from 1 species